AUGCUCUGGUUUUUCUUCAGAUUGCACAAAUCUUUUGCCUUUUACUAAAGAUUUCCAUGGAGAGAUUAGAGGUUAAAAGCAGCUUAGUUUACUGAAUAACUAGCAACGACUGGGUU
ensembl:snRNA U5 U5 spliceosomal RNA